rnacentral:rRNA from 1 species
UACGUAGGGACCAAGCGUUGUCCGGAAUCACUGGGCGUAAAGAGCGUGUAGGCGGCCGAGCAAGUCCGCUGUGAAAGCCCAGGGCUUAACCCUGGGAGGUCAGUGGAUACUGCUCGGCUAGAGUCCGGAAGAGGCGAGUGGAACUCCUGGUGUAGCGGUGAAAUGCGCAGAUAUCAGGAAGAACACCGAUAGCGAAGGCAGCUCGCUGGUACGGAACUGACGCUGAGACGCGAAAGCGUGGGGAGCAAACAGG